rnacentral:rRNA from 1 species
CAGCCGCCGCGGUAAUACGGAGGGGGCUAGCGUUGUUCGGAAUUACUGGGCGUAAAGCGCACGUAGGCGGCUUGGUAAGUUAGAGGUGAAAGCCCGGAGCUCAACUCCGGAAUUGCCUUUAAGACUGCCGAGCUAGUAGGUGAGAGAGGUAAGUGGAAUUCCGAGUGUAGAGGUGAAAUUCGUGGAUUUUCGGAAGAACACCAGUGGCGAAGGCGGCUUACUGGCUCAUUCUAGACGCUGAGGUGCGAAAGCGUGGGGAGCAAACAGGAUUAGAUACCCGCGUAGUCCCUGUCUCUUAUAC